GACGAACGCUGGCGGCGUGCUUAACACAUGCAAGUCGAACGGUAAGGCCCUUCGGGGUACACGAGUGGCGAACGGGGGAGUAACACGUGGGUGCUCUACCCUGCACUUCGGGAUAAGCCGGGGUAACUGGGUCUAAUACCGGGUACGACCACGGCCUGGCGGGGGUGUGGUGGAAAGCGUUUGCGGUGUGGGAUGGGCCCGGGGCGUGUCAGCUGGGUGGUGGGGGGAUGGCCUACCAAGGCGACGGCGGGUAGCCGGCCUGAGGGGGUGACCGGCCACACUGGGACUGAGAUACGGCCCAGACUCCUACGGGAGGCAGCAGUGGGGAAUAUUGCACAAUGGGCGCAAGCCUGAUGCAGCGACGCCGCGUGAGGGAUGACGGCCUUCGGGUUGUAAACCUCUUUCAGCACCGACGAAGCGCAAGUGACGGUAGGUGCAGAAGAAGGACCGGCCAACUACGUGCCAGCCGCCGCGGUAA
rnacentral:rRNA from 1 species